rnacentral:rRNA from 1 species
UACGUAGGUGGCAAGCGUUAUCCGGAAUGAUUGGGCGUAAAGGGUGAGCAGGCGGUUCUUCAAGUCAUGAGUGAAAGGCAGAAGCUUAACUUCUGUUGGCUGAUGAGACUGGAGAACUUGAGUACAGGAGAGGGCGGCGGAACUCCAUGUGUAGCGGUAAAAUGCGUAGAGAUAUGGAAGAACACCAGUGGCGAAGGCGGCCGCCUGGACUGAAACUGACGCUCAGGCACGAAAGCGUGGGGAGCAAAUAG